GCCACUGACAAGUUGUCACCCAAGGGAGAGGAAGUUGGUAAAGGAAGAAAAUGGUUCUGUCCUCGCUCGCCCUCAAGGAUCAAAAAUGCUACUGACUGUUUUUUUUUGUUUUUUUUGUUUUUUUCACAGAGCAAACAGGCAAUGUUUCCCUCCCCCUGUCCUCAGCCAGAUAGCCCUGAGGCUGCCAGAAGGGGAGCCAUUGAUUAUUUAGCUCACAAGAUGGACUUUGUGAUGUUGAGAGUGAACAUAUAGCAUGGGAAAAGACUCUCACUAGAAAGAUACAUGUUUACCUCUUGGGUGUGAUCCAUUAAAUAUGGUGCUUUGAUGGUGUCAGCUCAACAGCCUCCACUCCAGUCCUCCUGAAGUCAAUCACAGCUUUCCAGACACAACAGCGGGGGACAUGCUUUUCUGGUGUCAUCAGCAACAGCCAGGGAAAAACUCGGGACAUAAUUUGAGGCCAUACAUCUUGGCAGACGGCUACUUUUGUCAUCGUAAGUGGACUUCCAAGAAGAAAACACCAAGAGCCAGUUGUGAAGUUCUGACUGAGAACAUCCCUCUUGGAGAGAGGGCAUGUGAAAAACAAAACUGCUUCACCCCUAUAAAAAGAUUACAUGCACCUUUUUAGAUUUUACAGAAAACAGUAAAAUCGUAUUGCCAGCAUCAUCAUAAAAAGCCUUUGAUUGUCUUAUGCAAUUCAAUUUUUAGCAUUACUCUAUCCUUUUUGUUGUACAUCCAAGACGGAACAGAAUGCAUUUGUUGUUUGAAGUGAGCAGAGGGAAAAGAGGAGAAAGUAAGAAAUUGUUUAAGUAGUACUUUUCUCACUCCAGCAGAUUAAAGCAGAAGCGUGUUGGCAGUCAGUUGACAUGUUAUCAACAUUUCUUGUGAGAACUUCAUUUCAUACUUUUUCAGGGACCUGCUGAUAAGGGUUUGAGUUUCAAAGACAAUCAUUGAUGGGACGGGAUGAUGAUGAGAGAAGGGAUGGAGAUAGAAGGGAAGGAUAUCACACACACAUAGCACAUAGUAUUCAAAGUGCAUUGCUGAUGUGACGAGGGAUUAGCAUUUCUUGCUGUCAUAGUAACAGUAUGUUACAUGCAUGUUGUUCAUUGCAGCCCUGCUUUAAGGGCUCCUGGUUAUCACACUGAAAAAUGUAAUCGAGAUGAUGACUCGAUGUAGAUGUCAAGUUCAGAACAUGUUACUUUUUCCGCAUCAUUUCCAUGUGGGGGUAUGUCAAUCAUAGUAAAAUCUUUGUCACACAAAAUAAUCUGAAA